GCGACACUAGCUCAGUUGGUAGAGCGCAACCUUGACAAGGUUGAGGUCACGCCUUUUUGUUUUUAAAGAAGGGAACCUCGUGUGUCGCUCCA
rnacentral:tRNA from 1 species